rnacentral:rRNA from 1 species
AUUGAACGCUGGCGGAAUGCUUUACACAUGCAAGUCGAACGGCAGCACGGGGCAACCUGGUGGCGAGUGGCGAACGGGUGAGUAAUACAUCGGAACGUGCCCAAUCGUGGGGGAUAACGUAGCGAAAGUUACGCUAAUACCGCAUACGAUCUACGGAUGAAAGCGGGGGAUCGCAAGACCUCGCGCGAAUGGAGCGGCCGAUGUCAGAUUAGGUAGUUGGUGGGGGUAAAGGCUCACCAAGCCGACGAUCUGUAGCUGGUCUGAGAGGACGACCAGCCACACUGGGACUGAGACACGGCCCAGACUCCUACGGGAGGCAGCAGUGGGGAAUUUUGGACAAUGGGCGCAAGCCUGAUCCAGCCAUUCCGCGUGCAGGAUGAAGGCCUUCGGGUUGUAAACUGCUUUGUACGG